CUAUGCAGAUAUACCAUGUUGGGGUCUGAGCUCCUGAGCAGAGCUAGGUCUGUGGUGAGUACUUGGAUGGGGGACCACCAAAGAGAUGUAGAAAUAGC
rnacentral:rRNA from 1 species